rnacentral:sRNA from 1 species
CCAGCCGCUGAUAACGGGCUGGCAUCGCCGGGAGCGCUACGUGUGGCAUUCCCGUACCCAUGUUGCUUCAAGGAGGAUAUGGCUAUGGCAA